rnacentral:rRNA from 1 species
GUCGAGCGCACCCUUCGGGGCGAGCGGCGGACGGGUUAGUAACGCGUGGGAACAUGCCCUUUUCUAUGGAAUAGCCUUUGGAAACGAAGAGUAAUACCAUAUACGCCCUUCGGGGGAAAGAUUUAUCGGAGAAGGAUUGGCCCGCGUAAGAUUAGAUAGUUGGUGGGGUAAUGGCCUACCAAGUCUACGAUCUUUAGCUGGUUUUAGAGGAUGAUCAGCAACACUGGGACUGAGACACGGCCCAGACUCCUACGGGAGGCAGCAGUGGGGAAUCUUAGACAAUGGGCGCAAGCCUGAUCUAGCCAUGCCGCGUGUGUGAUGAAGGCCUUAGGGUCGUAAAGCACUUUCGCCAGAGAUGAUAAUGACAGUAUCUGGUAAAGAAACCCCGGCUAACUCCGUGCCAGCAGCCGCGGUAAUACGGAGGGGGUUAGCGUUGUUCGGAAUUACUGGGCGUAAAGCGCGCGUAGGCGGAUUGGAAAGUUGGGGGUGAAAUCCCAGGGCUCAACCCUGGAACUGCCUCCAAAACUAUCAAUCUAGAGUUCGAGAGAGGUGAGUGGAAUUCCAAGUGUAGAGGUGAAAUUCGUAGAUAUUUGGAGGAACACCAGUGGCGAAGGCGG